rnacentral:siRNA from 1 species
UGAAGUGCCGAAACACCUGGUCCC